UUGGUAAAUCUAUUUUUCUAAAGCAUUCAAAAAACACUAUUUUUUCCAGAAAGGCUCACCAUUAUUGUACAGCAGGGAUGAACAGAAACAACCUUUAGAAGGUGAAAGUUGAGUCCCAUUUUGGUCUGAGGAACACAGCAGUGCCUAAGGAAGGGAACCAAAGCAUACUCCACUUCAUCCAGGAGAACAGAUCAGAUUGAGCUCAGUCACAUUGCAGCUGACCAGGUGUACAGAACUGCAGACUCCCAGGCUCAGUGCUGCACAUGCAGCAGGUCUGCUGCUUGAGUGCCAUAGCUCUCUUCUGCAUCAGUGCCAGGCAGCUCCCGCCAGCUGUCUGAUACACCAGGCAAGCAACCAUACACACAUAAGAAAAAUAUCUGCACACCCUUCAUAACUUUGGAGCCCUGCCUUCUAAACCACACAAAUGGGAUUAGAUCUGUGUACAGAGAUCAACACCAAACUGCUGCUUAACCAAUAUGGUCAUGCUCACUCCUAGGUCAAGAGAAAUCUUUUCCAAAGAAAUGCACUGUUCAUCACAGUUGAACAUACAGCCUCUUUCCAGAUGUGGCACUCCACAAAUGUGCAGAUGCUGUUAUACCAAAAGCUGUUGUUUGAGCUUCAACUCCUUUCAGUUCUCCACCUCCUAUUGGAAAGACGGCAUGGAUUUCCCACUCAAUUCUCUUCUGGAUGUUAAUGGACAUGGAGCCCCCUCUGAAUGAAUCUUCUUACCUGAGUAACUUGCACAGCAGUGAAACAGCUGAGCAACACGUGAGGGUACAACCCUACUACUCUUGAGAAAUAUAUUUUGCUCCUGAACCUUAA